rnacentral:rRNA from 1 species
AGCAGUCGCCGCGGUAAUACGAAGGGUGCAAGCGUUAAUCGGAAUUACUGGGCGUAAAGCGUGCGUAGGCGGUUUGUUAAGUCUGCUGUGAAAUCCCCGGGCUCAACCUGGGAAUGGCAGUGGAUACUGGCAAGCUAGAGUGUGUCAGAGGAUGGUGGAAUUCCCGGUGUAGCGGUGAAAUGCGUAGAGAUCGGGAGGAACAUCAGUGGCGAAGGCGGCCAUCUGGGACAACACUGACGCUGAGGCACGAAAGCGUGGGGAGCAAACAGGAUUAGAUACCCCCGUAGUCCCUGUCUCUUAUAA